rnacentral:rRNA from 1 species
UACAGAGGUCUCAAGCGUUGUUCGGAUUCAUUGGGCGUAAAGGGCGCGUAGGUGGCCCGGUCAGUUCGUGGUGAAAGCGCGGGGCUCAACCCUGCGUCGGCCAUGAAUACUGCCGCGGCUGGAGCACUGUAGAGGCAGGCGGAAUUCCGGGUGUAGCGGUGGAAUGCGUAGAGAUCCGGAAGAACACCGGUGGCGAAGGCGGCCUGCUGGGCAGUUGCUGACACUGAGGCGCGACAGCGUGGGGAGCAAACAGG